rnacentral:rRNA from 1 species
CUACGGGUGGCUGCAGUGGGGAAUAUUGCACAAUGGACGAAAGUCUGAUGCAGCAACGCCGCGUGGAGGAUGACACUUUUCGGAGCGUAAACUCCUUUUAUAUAGGAAGAUAAUGACGGUACUAUAUGAAUAAGCACCGGCUAACUCCGUGCCAGCAGCCGCGGUAAUACGGAGGGUGCAAGCGUUACUCGGAAUCACUGGGCGUAAAGAGCGUGUAGGCGGGUUAAUAAGUCAGAAGUGAAAUCCAAUGGCUCAACCAUUGAACUGCUUUUGAAACUGUUAACCUAGAAUAUGGGAGAGGUAGAUGGAAUUUCUGGUGUAGGGGUAAAAUCCGUAGAGAUCAGAAGGAAUACCGAUUGCGAAGGCGAUCUACUGGAACAUUAUUGACGCUGAGACGCGAAAGCGUGGGGAGCAAACAGGAUUAGAUACCCUUGUAGUC